GCUUCUGUAGCGCAAUGGUUAGCGCGUUCGGCUGUUAACCGAAAGGUUGAGAGUUCGAGUCUCUCCAGAAGCG
rfam:Nosema ceranae strain PA08 1199 NODE_47, whole genome shotgun sequence.